GGUAUAGAUGUUCUUCUGUGAAAUAUAAAAUUAACUAAAAAUAAACGGUUUUAAAACUGAAAAAUACACUUUCCUGCAUUUAGAGGACUGAUCAAUCGUUUUCUGAAGUAGCAGAGGUCAUUUAAUAAACAGGUUUGAUACUCGAUGAUAAACUAUAGAUGUUAUUUACAGUCCGACACAGGAGCAGGAGGAGGAGGAGGAUGAGGAGGUGUUUAAUAGUAUUAGCUCCUGCUUCCUCUCAGGUCCAGCAGAGGAGAACAAGAGACCACAGCGGGGCAAAUUACACUGCUGCUGCGCCUCUGCGUCUUUAUAUCCACACACACACACACACUCUUACACACACUCUAUCUCUCUCUCUCUCUCUCUCUCUCACACACACUCAGAGUAAGAGAGAAAGCCAGCUGCUGCAAAGCUGCACUGACUGACAGCAGGUUGUAAACUGCGAUCGGACAGUUGGACUCUGGACUCUGCUGCCGUUUCUCUCUGUGGACCUCCACCAUCAUUAUAAUCAUCAUUAACAUGAUCAUUGUUAUUGUGUGUGUGAGGACGUCUCAUCGGACCCUCCUGAGGAUGAACCCUCAGUACGGACUGUCAGGUAGGAGCUGCCUCUCAGAUAAACUCACUUUGACUCUCUUUGACGCUGCAGAGGAAACUCUUCAGUUAGAGGUCCAGGUGGUCUGACUAUAUACACAUAUAUAUAUAUUUAUAUGUAUAUAUAUUAGUACUUAUAUUUAUAUUUAUAUUAGUACAUAUAUUUAUAUUUAUAUUAGUACAUAUAUUUAUAUCUAUAUUAGUACAUGUAUUUAUAUUUAUAUUAGUACAUAUAUUUAUAUUUGUAUUAGUACAUAUAUUUAUAUAUAUAUUAGUACUUAUAUUUAUAUUUAUAUUAGUACAUAUAUUUAUAUUUAUAUUAGUACAUAUAUUUAUAUAUAUAUUAGUACUUAUAUUUAUAUUUAUAUUAGUACAUAUAUUUAUAUUUAUAUUAGUACAUAUAUUUAUAUUUAUAUUAGUACAUAUAUUUAUAUUUGUAUUAGUACAUGUAUUUAUAUAUAUAUUAGUACAUGUAUUUAUAUAUAUAUUAGUACAUAUAUUUAUAUAUAUAUUAGUACAUAUAUUUAUAUUUGUAUUAGUACAUGUAUUUAUAUAUAUAUUAGUACAUAUAUUUAUAUUUAUAUUAGUACAUAUAUUUAUAUUUAUAUUAGUACAUAUAUUUAUAUAUAUAUAUUAUUACAUGUAUUUAUAUUUAUAUUAGUACAUUUAUUUAUAUUUAUAUCAGUACAUAUAUUUAUAUUUAUAUUAGUACAUAUAUUAGUACAUAUAUUUAUAUAUAUAUUAGUACAUAUAUUUAUAUUUAUAUUAGUACAUAUAUUAAUAUUUAUAUUAGUACAUAUAUUUAUAUUUAUAUUAGUACAUAUAUUUAUAUUUAUAUUAGUACAUAUAUUAGUACAUAUAUUUAUAUUUAUAUUAGUACAUAUAUUAAUAUUUAUAUUAGUACAUAUAUUUAUAUAUAUAUUAGUACAUGUAUUUAUAUAUAUAUAUUAGUACAUAUAUUUAUAUUUAUAUUAGUACAUAUAUUAGUACAUAUAUUAAUAUUUAUAUUAGUACAUAUAUUUAUAUUUAUAUUAGUACAUAUAUUUAUGAGUAUAUCUGACGUUAUCUUCUGCUCUGUGGUUGUUUUUUUGAGUUUAGAUCUUCGUUCGUUUCCUCCUCUGAUGAUUUCCUCCGACACGUUUUUAUUACUCGUCUUUUUUUUCUGCAGAAACUCGUGUGACGUUCGUCCUCCUGCCGCCGAUCAGCUGAUCUCUGUCGUCUUUUCAUUCAUACUCUGACCUUCUUCACCGCGCUCUCAUGUACCUCCUAUCCAUGAGUCCAGACGUCAUUUUUAUGAUCACUCUGAUCUUUGAUGGAGGAGGAGGGUUCAGGUUCAGCUCUGAGGUUCUUCAGGAUCAUCUUAACCUCUUUCUCUCUUCUUCUCACAGGUUUCUCCGGCUCUGAAGGAACUGUUUUCCAACUCUCAGCCUGAACAAGUUCUGGUCCCUCCAACCUUCAGGAUAAAGCAUGGACGGUCAUGAUGCUGAAGGUCCCUGGAGAUGAAAACUUCCAGACUUCCAGGCGAGAUGCUCAGAAACCUGCAGGGUGGUCCGGAUGAAAAGUUGAAGUGAUGGAGAUCCAGA